ensembl:lncRNA
AGUGUGGACAGCUCCUCCUCCAGCUGCGUCAUCCUCUGAUUGGACGACACUGGGAUCAAACCGUCGUGUGAUUGGACCAAAGUGCCUCUUUAGAUACACACGUGUUUAGACUUUUAUCACCAUUUAUGUUUGUUUCAUGAGCUAAAACUAAAUGUGCAAUAAGUACCCGCCAGAAAAGUGGGUCUGAACCAGGACUAAACCAGGACUAAACCAGGUCUGAACAGGGACUAAACCAGGACUAAACCAGGACUAAACCAGGACUGAACAGGGACUAAACCAGGACUAAACCAGGACUAAACCAGGACUAAACCAGGACUGAACCAGGACUAAACAGGGACUAAACCAGGACUGAACAGGGACUAAACAAGGACUAAACAGGGACUAAACAGGGACU